AAACACUCUGGACUGUGUCGGCGGCCACCAUGUUCCUAUAGUCGGCUACUCCCCGGAGAAGGCUAAGGAACAUAGUGGUGAACAUGGUGACCUCGUCCUGGUUGAGGGGAUUCAGUUGCUGCUGCAUUGGUGGCUUGGAAAUCAGAGCCAGCACUAGAACUACCAACAAAAUGGCCAGCAUUUUGACUUCAAAUCAGUUUCUAACAAAGAGUGAACUAAAUAUCAAAGUCAGUCAGAGCAUGGCUUUUAAACUCCGCCAUUAUUGGUUCGCUGACCCUGUGGCAAUAAGUAAUUAAAACUGCUCUUGUUGGACAGGCUCCUCUGUUUGCCCAAGUCAAGAAGUCGGGUUACAUUUGUGUCAAGACGUUCGAGAUAAUUGCUAAAUGCCCUGUCAAUAUUUAGUGUCAACGCAUCAAAAACGAUACCAGACAUAGGUAUAUAAAGAGAUAUGUGUUUCAAGUCGAUAUAAUCUGUUAUUGAGUUCAGUAGGUUAAGGUCAUUUUAAGUGUCUUCCAUUCUCAGAGCUGUAAGCUUUGAUAAAAAGUAUUUCUAAAACAAUAAUUAAAUUCUUUAAAUUAAUCACGGGAGAGAACCGCAUUUACGUCACAGUACUUAACAUCAACUGGAAAAGAGCUCUAUUAAGUUUUGCUGAAAUCCCAGCUUUUAUACUUUCGAUAAUGUAAAGAAGUAAAUGAAAUUAUCAGUUCAUUUAAAUGCUGGGUAUUUUUUCCCUCACCACAUACUUAACCACAUAUUCAACCGUUGCGUUAUCAUUUAAAUAGCUUACAGCGACUGUGUAGGUAUUUUCCCAACUUUUAAAAUAUUUAUAUUCAUUUAUCAGGCAUUGUUUAAAAAUAUUUUUCAAUGUAUAGCCUUCAUUUAUUUAAGAGAGGGUUAAGAUAAUUAAAUACAAAAAUGUAAUUUUUUGAAUAUCAUAACUAACGGAAUAUUACACAACAUUAUCUUAUAUGUAUUAAAUUGGGGCUGCACCCUUUCCGAAUAUGGAUUUUGGUAA